rnacentral:rRNA from 1 species
UACGUAGGGGGCAAGCGUUGUCCGGAUUUAUUGGGCGUAAAGAGCUCGUCGGUGGUUUGGUAAGUCGGAUGUGAAAUCUCCAGGCCCAACCUGGAGGGGUCAUUCGAUACUGCCAUGACUAGAGGUCGGUAGGGGAGUGUGGAAUUCCUGGUGGAGCGGUGAAAUGCGCAGAUAUCAGGAGGAACACCCGUAGCGAAGGCGGCACUCUGGGCCGAUUCUGACACUGAGGAGCGAAAGCGUGGGGAGCGAACAGG